CAUAUACUCCCUCCGUUCGAAAUUACUUGUCGCGAAAAUGGAUGUAUCUAGACGUAUUUUAGUUCUAGAUACAUCCAUUUUGAAGACAAGUAAUUCCGAACGGAGGGAGUACAUC
rnacentral:pre_miRNA from 1 species